UUAUUCCGUGACGUUGAGGAUCUGUGAGGACAGUCCUUGGUGCCAGUUCUUCAGCUUGGCGAAGCGGGGCCCCUUCACCUCUGACUCAAACUUCUCUCUGAUGGCGUGCAAGGCGGGAAAAAGGCCGUUACAUCAGGUCCACGUCGGAGGAGCCGGUGUGUACUUCAGUGGUCCAGUAGAUAAAUCGAUGGAGUGAGUUUACACAGCAACAUGAUUGGAAAAUGAACUUUUUUAGAAUUGUUUUAGAAGUGUUAGGAAAAAAAAGGGGGAGUCAGUACUGAUCGUUUGAAAAACCUGUGAUUGGAUACUCAGAACAUUCCCAUGCUGUGACAUCCCAUCAGGCUCCGGAGGCGGUGACGAUGCCAUAGGCUGCUUUAUUGAGAGGAGGCCUCCAAAAAAAACCCAUAAAUGAAUAAAUAAAUUAAUACAUAACACCCUUAAACACUCUCA